AUUGAACGCUGGCGGCAGGCCUAACACAUGCAAGUCGAACGAGUUGCGGACGGGUGAGUAAUGUCUGGGAAACUGCCUGAUGGAGGGGGAUAACUACUGGAAACGGUAUCUAAUACCGCAUACCCUCAGAUGUGCCCAGAGGGGAUUAGCUAGUUGGUGGGGUAACGGCUCACCAAGGCGACGAUACCUAGCUGGUCUGAGAGGCUGACAAGCCAGACUGUAAAUGAGACACGGUCCAGACGCCUACGGGAGGCAGCAGUGGGAAUUAUUGCACAAUGGGCGCAAGCCUGAUGCAGCCAUGCCGCGUGUAGGAAGAAGGCCUUCGGGUUGUAAAGUACGUUCAGCGGGGAGGCGUUACCCGCAGAAGAAGCACCGGCUAACUCCGUGCCAGCCGCCGCGGUAAUUC
rnacentral:rRNA from 1 species